rnacentral:rRNA from 1 species
AGCGAACGCUGGCGGCAGGCCUAACACAUGCAAGUCGAACGAAGUCUUCGGACUUAGUGGCGGACGGGUGAGUAACACGUGGGAACGUGCCUUUAGGUUCGGAAUAACUCAGGGAAACUUGUGCUAAUACCGAAUGUGCCCUUCGGGGGAAAGAUUUAUCGUCUUUAGAGCGGCCCGCGUCUGAUUAGCUAGUUGGUGAGGUAAAGGCUCACCAAGGCUACGAUCAGUACCUGGUCUGAGAGGAUGAACAGCCACAUUGAGACUGAGACACGGCCCAAACCCCAAGGGGAGGCAGAAGUGGAGAAUCAUGCGGAAUGGGCGAAAGCCUGACGGAACCAUGCCGAGCGGAUGAUGAAAGUCUUAGCAUUGUAAAAGCCUUUCACCGAUGAAGAGAAUGACAGGUGCCGGAGAAGAAGCCCCGGCUAACUUCGUGCCAGCAGCCGCAGUAAAAC